GUGCUUAACACAUGCAAGUCGAACGGGAUCCCUGGCAGCUUGCUGCCGGGGUGAGAGUGGCGAACGGGUGAGUAAUGCGUGACCGACCUGCCCCAUGCACCGGAAUAGCUCCUGGAAACGGGUGGUAAUGCCGGAUGUUCCACAUGAGCGCAUGCGAGUGUGGGAAAGGCUUUUUGCGGCAUGGGAUGGGGUCGCGUCCUAUCAGCUUGUUGGUGGGGUAACGGCCUACCAAGGCGUUGACGGGUAGCCGGCCUGAGAGGGCGACCGGCCACAUUGGGACUGAGAUACGGCCCAGACUCCUACGGGAGGCAGCAGUGGGGAAUAUUGCACAAUGGGCGCAAGCCUGAUGCAGCGACGCCGCGUGCGGGAUGGAGGCCUUCGGGUUGUAAACCGCUUUUGUUCAAGGGCAAGGCACGGUUUCGGCCGUGUUGAGUGGAUUGUUCGAAUAAGCACCGGCUAACUACGUGCCAGCAGCCGCGGUAAUACGUAGGGUGCAAGCGUUAUCCGGAUUUAUUGGGCGUAAAGGGCUCGUAGGCGGUUCGUCGCGUCCGGUGUGAAAGUCCAUCGCUUAACGGUGGAUCCGCGCCGGGUACGGGCGGGCUUGAGUGCGGUAGGGGAGACUGGAAUUCCCGGUGUAACGGUGGAAUGUGUAGAUAUCGGGAAGAACACCAAUGGCGAAGGCAGGUCUCUGGGCCGUUACUGACGCUGAGGAGCGAAAGCGUGGGGAGCGAACAGGAUUAGAUACCCUGGUAGUCCACGCCGUAAACGGUGGAUGCUGGAUGUGGGGCCCUUUUUCCGGGUCCUGUGUCGGAGCUAACGCGUUAAGCAUCCCGCCUGGGGAGUACGGCCGCAAGGCUAAAACUCAAAGAAAUUGACGGGGGCCCGCACAAGCGGCGGAGCAUGCGGAUUAAUUCGAUGCAACGCGAAGAACCUUACCUGGGCUUGACAUGUGCCGGACGCCCGCGGAGACGUGGGUUCCCUUCGGGGCCGGUUCACAGGUGGUGCAUGGUCGUCGUCAGCUCGUGUCGUGAGAUGUUGGGUUAAGUCCCGCAACGAGCGCAACCCUCGCCGCGUGUUGCCAGCGGGUCAUGCCGGGAACUCACGUGGGACCGCCGGGGUUAACUCGGAGGAAGGUGGGGAU
rnacentral:rRNA from 1 species